rnacentral:lncRNA from 1 species
GCUCCCUCAAGCCAUUUUCGAGCUUGAGACUGCUCUGCUCAUCCCAGAGGCCUCAGUUAUGUAUCAUGGAAUGAGCACCUCAUCUCUGUGAACAGUCGCCCCUAACUCUUCCUUCCCGACAAAAGAAUUCUGUCCUGACGGCACCCACUGUCUCUCCAUCUCCACCCGCCCUGUCCCCCCACUGCAGCUCUGCCUGGCUGCCUCUUUGCCAACUCCCGCAAAGAGUCUACUUCACGUUAGAUAAGGAUUCGAGGAGUCAUGUAUUGUUUUUAAAAGGAAGGAGGAGAGCAGACGCAGUCCUAAAACUGCAGGAGGAAAAGGAGGUGAUUCUGUGUCACGUUUGUUUUCAAGAGGGAUGCAGAUGAAAAGAGAAGCACAGGCGAAGCUGCCCAGCGUGCUGAGAUGAAGGAAAGCAUGGCCUUUGCCAAGCGGUGCCAUGUCCGCACCCGGGAUCCGAAACCACGAACCCCAGGCUGCCAAGAAGCGGAACAUGGGAACUUAACCUCUGUGCCACCGGGCCGGCCCCAGCGUUCCUGUGCCUUUUUCGGGGACAGUCUUUCAUGUAAUCAAUUCUUCUAUCAGCUGCCACCUUCAUUCCAGUGCACUUUCAAGCCCUUUCCUGGUACUACCAAGUCACACUGUCUUCAUUUGACAUUUGGUCCUGGAUGUCUUUCUGGAGUUUGGGAGGUUUUACCAGUAUACCUGAACGGACCAUCUUCCAGAGUCGAUUAAAUCAUACAAUAUUGCCUGAGAAAUGCAUCUCAUGAGCUGCUUAUGCCCAGUUCUAUAGAUCAGAAGUUGAACAUGGGUCUCGCUGGACUAAAACCAAGGUACUGACACACCCCCGUUCCAUUCUGGAGGCUCUGGGGAGAAUCAUGUUCUAGAUGCCAGCAGUGCGAAAUCAGUGACACCGGACUGAAACCAAGGAGUCAGCAGAGAUUCCUCAGGAGGCUCCAGGGAAAAAUCGGUUCCCUUCUAGCUUCCAUGACUGCUGGCAACCUUGAAACUAGUGCAUCACUGCCCACUGCACAUGCGUCACUCCAG